rnacentral:rRNA from 1 species
AGUGAACGCUGGCGGUAGGCCUAACACAUGCAAGUCGAACGGCAGCACAGUAAGAGCUUGCUCUUACGGGUGGCGAGUGGCGGACGGGUGAGGAAUACAUCGGAUUCUACUUUUUCUUGGGGGAUAACGUAGGGAAACUUACGCUAAUACCGCAUACGACCUACGGGUGAAAUCAGGGGUUCUUCGGACCUUGCCUGUUUGAUUGAGCCGAUGUCGGAUUAGCUAGUUGGCGGGGUAAAGGCCCACCAAGGCGACGAUCCGUAGCUGGUCUGAGAGGAUGAUCAGCCACACUGGAACUGAGACACGGUCCAGACUCCUACGGGAGGCAGCAGUGGGGAAUAUUGGACAAUGGGCGCAAGCCUGAUCCAGCAAUACCGCGUGGGUGAAGAAGGCCUUCGGGUUGUAAAGCCCUUUUGUUGGGAAAGAAAAGCAGCAGGUUAAUACCCCGCUGUUCUGACGGUACCCAAAGAAUAAGCACCGGCUAACUUCGUG